rnacentral:ncRNA from 2 species
CAGGAAGCCGGUGAGACUCCGGCGCGGUCCCGCCACUGUGAGCCCGCGUCCCCGGACGAGGUGAGUCAGGAACUG